UUUUUGGCAGCGUGAAACCACUAUAAAUUUCUGCAUACAACCCAACCCAACCCAACAAACAAAACCCAAAACAGAAAUGCACAGAUUACCCGCGCCCCUUCUGGUUCCUCUCUAUCUCUCUAUCUUCUUGCUUUCGGCUUUCAAUGUUCCCGCGGCUGGCGACGAGGACAACCCCUUUACCCCAAAAGCUUUUCUGAGUCGUUAUUGGAACAAGGAGGUCUGGAAUGAUUUGCCAAAACCCACUUUUCUCUUCUCCAAGGCGUCUCCCUUGACGGCAGUGCAGUCCGCGGCCUUCGCCAAACUCGCAGCCCAAAACACACUCUCCUCCCGCCUCCCUCAGUUCUGCUCCGCCGCAAAUCUGCUCUGCUUCCCCGAUUUAGCCCCUUCUUUGGCCAAGCACAACAAGGACUCCAACUUUGCUGUCUAUUCCAAUAGGAACUUCACCACUUACGGCUCCAAAAGAGCUGGUGGCAUCGACUCCUUCAAGAACUAUUCCAAUGAUGAAAAUAUCUUCGUCGAUUCCUUCCGGCGCUACAGCCACGGCGCCUUGAGCCACGCCGACCGAUUUUCGACCUAUGGCAUCGACACCAACGUCCCCGACCAGGGUUUUAACACUUACGCCUCCAAAGCCAUAGGAGGUAACGGCAAGUUCACAACCUACGAACAAUCCACCAAUGUCCCCAAUCUCCGAUUUACCAGCUACUCCACCGAUGCCACUGGACGAUCUCAAGUCUUUAAGAGCUACAGCGAGAACGCAAACGCAGGAGAUCAGUCGUUUGCCAACUAUGGAAAACGAGGAAAUGGGGGUCCCAACGAGUUCUCGGCCUACGGGACCAACGCAAACGUAAUAGGCUCUGGGUUUUCAAGCUAUGGGUCCGACGGAAAUGGCGCUAACGACACAUUCACCAAUUACGGCAACGAGCAAAACGACCCACAGAACAACUUCAGGAGCUAUGGGGAGGGUGGGAACGGAGCGAUUGAAAGCUUCUCUAGUUACAGAGACCAGGCGAAUGUGGGGGACGAUUCAUUUCAGUCCUACUCCAAGAACUCGAACUCGGCGAAGGUCAAUUUCGCAAAUUAUGGGAAAUCCGCCAAUGUGGGUUCGGACAAGUUUAGUGGAUAUGGACAGAAUGGGAAUGCGCAAAGCGUGGGAUUCAAGAUCUAUGGGGUGAAUACAACGUUCAAAGAUUACGCGAAACGGGGGAUUAGUUUUGCCCAGUACAGCAAUGUGAGCUCCGGUGGUGCGAAAAUGUCGGUGAACGGGAGUUUGGCGCAGAGGUGGGUAGAGCCCGGGAAGUUCUUCCGCGAGUCAAUGCUGAGGAAGGGGACGGUGAUGGCUAUGCCGGACAUCAAGGAUAAAAUGCCGAAGAGGUCGUUCCUGCCCCGAUCUAUUCUAUCCAAGUUGCCCUUUUCGAGUUCGAAACUGGGAGUGAUGAAGAAGAUAUUCCACGCCGAGGAUAACUCGUCGAUGGAGACUAUGAUGAUGGAGACGCUCGGGGAGUGCGAGAGGGCGCCGAGUGCCGGGGAGACAAAGCGGUGCGUGGGGUCGGUGGAGGAUAUGAUAGACUUCGCCACGUCGGUGCUGGGGCGGAACGUGGUGGUCCGGACGACGGAGAACACGAAGGGGUCGAAGGGGAACAUAAUGAUAGGGGCGGUGAAAGCGGUGGAGGGAGGGAAGGUGACGAAGUCGGUGUCUUGCCACCAGAGCCUAUUCCCUUACCUACUCUACUACUGCCACUCCGUGCCCAAGGUUCGAGUGUACGAAGCGGAAUUGCUGGAUCCAAGGUCUAAGGCCAACAUAAACCACGGAGUUGCCAUCUGUCACUUGGACACCUCAGCCUGGAGUCCCAGUCACGGGGCGUUCAUAGCUCUCGGGUCCGCCCCCGGUCGGGUGGAGGUGUGCCACUGGAUCUUCGAGAACGACAUGACGUGGACUGUGGCCGACUGAUCUGUCGCCGCAAGGGGGGAGGGUAUGGGUGUCGUCUAAAAAAUGUUUAGCCGCCACCUCCACGUCAUCAGAACAUGAUAUUAUUUUCUGUUUCUAAGUUGUUUUAGGUUUCGCCAAAGAAUGGUACUGUUAACUGUGAAAGAAUGGUCCUGUGCCCAUAUCUAUGUGCUUCCAUUGCUUUGUUGUGUUGCGAGGGACAUUCCAUGAGACAGCUCACACGCUUGUUGUGACUCUCUCUCUCUAAAUCUAUCCAUUUCGCACUUUAUGGGCUGCUACUUUGAGUCCAAAACAAGAGAAAUUCUUGGUUGAGGUCACAAUACAUCUAACAAUUUUGCACCGUUAGAUGUGAGA